rnacentral:lncRNA from 1 species
UUUGAUUUGUUUUGCUUUGCCUGUUGCUUUUCUAAUGAAUUAGUCCCGGUGUUUAAAGGAUUGCCUAGUAAAGUCAUUGAAACAUCAUUUUUUUCAAAUAUUAUCUAAAAUUUCCUUGGAACUAAGGUUUUAUGCAAUGAUCUAUUAAAUAAUGAAUACGCACAUGGUAAUAGAAAAUUAAAAUAUCCCUUUAAUUCCUACUGAUUCACUUAAGAGAAAAUUCAGAAACCUUCUCAUAUAGAAUUGCAAUUCCUUAUUAUGUUAUAUAUUUAUAAGUUGAUAAUGAAAAGGCAACUUUAAUCAAAAGUUAAUUUAAAAACUCACAACAUAAUCAUUUGGUUUAUUCAAUUAAAUAGUACUGAAUUUCAAGAGUGUGUAGUAAUAAUGAACAAAUAUAAAUUGAGGAAAAGAAGUGAAAGUCUCAGAAGCUUUAGAGUGAUGAAUAAGAAGGCUGAUACUGGUUACAUUGGCCUUUGUUUUCUAUUGUACUAAAGUUGCAGUUAAUGAAAUAUUUGAGUAGCAAAGAUAAGAGACAAAGAUGCUUCACAAAAUACUGGUAAUAAAACUCUUCUUCUAAAAAGACAGCUACCCAAUAUGCUUGAUACUUAUCGAGGACCUAUAUUUUUUAAAAAACAGAAGCCCAGCAGAGUCAUCGUUUCUCUAGGCUCACAUUCUCCUUUGUCUAGUAGGAUGUGUGUUAUGAAUAUAAAUGAACUUUUGAGACUUAGUUAUAAAGAUCUCUGGCACAUCACUAAGCAUUUUAGUCCUCUCUGUUAGCUGGUUUCCUGUGGGCUGUGUCUGUUAUCUUUCCUCUCAUGCCGCAUCCAGUCUCUACUGUGAUUAGGCUCUUGAGGACAGGGGAUAUUUCUUCCUGAAGUUUGUACCUGCCUAUCCUGGCCAAGGUUUCUGCUCUAAAUUCUUUCCUAUUUCCUUACCUUGGUGAGAUGGGCUAUAAGUCUAGGACUCCUACUUUUAUCUUUCUUGACAAAUACCUAGAGCAGGUGCAGCUCUAGCUGCUCAUCUCACACUCCUUCUGGCGUAGAAGAUCUGCCUGGAUCUUCUUAUCAGAGGCAACUUUCUAAAGAUUUUAUCAGCCAAGAAGAGAAAGUUUGGCAAGCCAUUACAAGAAGGGAACUAGAAACUUCUUCAAGUUCAUAGGUCUCUAAUCGUGGGAAACCUCGUAUGGCAGAAUGCAGGUCCAAAAGUCCUGGACUCUGAUCCAGAUAAACGGAAGUCUCAGGAAGAAAUAAAGAAAUUGGGACACAGAGAAUGUAAAUGGAGAUGCAGUGGAAUCAGACUCCAGAGUUCCCACUCAAAAACUUUUCUCUCUCUCCUAUCUUGUGAGGAAGGACAUUUUAGGUAUUACUUCAUCUAGAAAGGAAUGGCUCUUCAGCGAGGCAAGCAGAACUGGGAAUGCAGAGCCCAGGUUUGCAGCUUCACUUCUGAAGUCAAGC